UACACAACAUACAGUCUACAAGUUUACAUA
rnacentral:sRNA from 1 species